CGGCUUUGCAUUAUAAGAGCACAGUUGAGUAGCUGCAGCAAAGACUGCAUAGCCCACAAGCCUAAAAUAUUUAUUAAUCCAGCCCAUCACAGAAAACAUUUGCUGACUGCUACCCCAGUGCCUUGGAAUUCUCUCCAGGUCUUCUGCGUCUACCAGACAGUGUCCUCCAGUAGAUUAAAAAAAGAGCGUGCACGAUCUUUUGGAGAUUUUAAUGGGCAGGUCUGUAAGGGACACACACAACUUCUGACCACGUCCUGUUGGCCAGAGCUCAGCUCACAGCGACAGGUACCUGCAAGAGCAGCUGGGAAAUGCAGCCUCGUUCAGGUAUAUUUGAGCAAAGACCUCAGGAGGGUCAAGGAGGAAUUGCUAUUGACAAGAGGCUGUGAAAGCAUAUGUGUCAUUCGGUUGGCGCCUGGUCCCGAGGGCUGUUUGGGUUUGCUCAGGACCCAGAGUUCGAGGAACUUUUCUUUUCUUUUUUCUUUUUUUAAAGAUUUUAUUUAUUUAAAUACAUCCAGAAUUUUCUAACACAGAAAUUGCUUUCUUUAGGCCGAAAAGCUUCUUAAGUCCAAAUAAAAAACGAACACCUGGAUGACAUGCUAUCAUGGGCUAAAACUUUUUUUUUUUUUUUAGCCUUGUAUAAGGCCUUUGGUUGGGAAAAAAGACAUUCUCGUCACUUCUGUGCGUAAAGGACUGAGAGACGGAGCCACACCGAUGGCUUUGGCAGCCCCGCGCCCUCGCACGCCUGUUGUAUGAUGGACUGGGAACUGCGUUGGCGCGAGACUGGAUUUCUUUUUUUUUUUUUUUUUGAGACUGGAUUUCUUAGGAAGUCCAGGCCACUGGCUCCGACGCAUUGGUUCCGCUGAAGUCCUCUGAGCGGCCCCUCCGUCCCCCGCUGGGUUGGCCAAAGAUGCAGCCCCACGCGGGCCACCGCUCUGCAAUGUGGAGAGUUCGCAGGCUCCCGGCUACCAUUUUUCUGCCUCUGUGAGUUUCUCUGGCCCCGACUGCUUGUGUGAUCACGUGGGUUUCUCUUUCAUUCAAGCCUCACGCGUGGCAACGGAAGGAAGAGGGAUCCAGGAGCAGAGAGCGCCGAGGGGAGCCCGGGGUCUACGGGUGCAAGACGGGCUCGCUUACCCCUUGAGACCCUGGAGGGAGAGGAGGCGGCAGGUUUCAGGGCGCUGAAAUGCUACCUUGGGAGGUGGUGAGCUCCCCGUGCCGGAGAGAUGCAAGCAGAGGCCGUGCGACCGUUCGUCAGGCGUCUCCCGCCGGGAUUGCUGUCGGGCGUCUGUGCUCAUUCCUGAAGGUCAGAGGCUGUGGGCCCCGCUGGCAAGCGGAAGCCUGGCCGGGCUCCUGGCCACCGGGCCACGCUGCCUGAAGACAAUCCUAAGUAAGAAGGGGAAUGUAAAUAAUCACUCCCUCUAAUUUAAUCUGUUUGUAA
rnacentral:lncRNA from 1 species